UAGUUACCCAAAAAAAAAAAAAAAUCCUCCAAGCCUUACUAUUUCAAACUUGGCUAUUUUAGUCCCUAUACUUAUCCUACCGUUAGUGAAAAGUUUUAGAUUUUAAUAGAAUAUUUUUUUAUGAUAUAAUAAUUUAGAUAUUAAAUGUAAUUAAAUUUUAAAAUAUUAGGGUCUAAAGUGUAAUCAUUGAUAUUUUAUAAUCAAUAACAAAAAUGUGAAGUCAUUGACAAUUAAAGGAAACAAAAUUGCACCUUUUCAAACAGCAAGAACUGAAGAAUAUAUUGUACAAAAUCUCAUAUGGUUUUCGUAAUUAACCCUUUUUAGGCUCAUUUAAUAAUGAGCUAAAUAUAUACACGUUAAAGCUCAAUUCAGCUUAUCUACAACCUUAAGGGUAAUGGGGUGGGGAUUUGCUUGAAUGGCAUGAUGGAUGGUUGGAUACCUACAUUUUUCUCCCAGAUACCUACAUUUUUCUCCCAUGGGACUGAAAAUGGGGGAAAAUAUGUUGCCGCUCCCUAACCCAUUAAAUGGAAAUUGGAACAGGAAUGAAGAAUGGCCUUCCAUCCACUCCGUGUCCUGUUUUCACAUGUAACUAAAUAAAGACAAUGUUUAUAAAGAAGCUGCAAUUUCAUCCUAUUUUAAAUAGUUUUGCUGUACCGUUGGGUUUGUAAUUUAAUGUUUUAUAUGACAAUUUGUAUUCAUAAUCUUCAUCCAAAUGAUAAUAUUUCUCUAAUGCCAACAUAAAAAUAUCAAUUGAAUGCACAUUAGGCACUCAUGAUUCAUGAACCUUUCAUGAGCAGCUAAUUGAAUAUUAAAACAAAAAUUACUAUUGAAAAUACCAUAAAAGUGAAAUAAUAUUAGUUAUAAAAUAGUAUUGACUUUGAUGUGUUGUACCUUGUAAGAAGAAAUUAUGCAAUGGAAGUUCAGUGUGUAUUUAAAAAAAUUUAAAAACAAAAAGAAAAGAGAGAAAGGUAAAAAAAAAAGAAAUCAUCAUCCCUUUUAGAGAGUGCUGCUGUUUUGGGGAUUUAAAUUUCAAAUCAAG
rnacentral:misc_RNA from 1 species